rnacentral:rRNA from 1 species
AGACCCGAAACCCGGUGAUCUAGCCAUGGGCAGGUUGAAGGUUGGGUAACACUAACUGGAGGACCGAACCGACUAAUGUUGAAAAAUUAGCGGAUGACCUGUGGCUGGGGGUGAAAGGCCAAUCAAACCGGGAGAUAGCUGGUUCUCCCCGAAAGCUAUUUAGGUAGCGCCUCGUGAAUUCAUCUCCGGGGGUAGAGCACUGUUUCGGCUAGGGGGCCAUCCCGGCUUACCAACCCGAUGCAAACUGCGAAUACCGGAGAAUGUUAUCACGGGAGACACACGGCGGGUGCUAACGUCCGUCGUGAAGAGGGAAACAACCCAGACCGCCAGCUAAGGUCCCAAAGUCAUGGUUAAGUGGGAAACGAUGUGGGAAGGCCCAGACAGCCAGGAUGUUGGCUUAGAAGCAGCCAUCAUUUAAAGAAAGCGUAAUAGCUCACUGGUCGAGUCGGCCUGCGCGGAAGAUGUAACGGGGCUAAACCAUGCACCGAAGCUGCGGCAGCGACACUAUGUGUUGUUGGGUAGGGGAGCGUUCUGUAAGCCUGUGAAGGUGUGUCGUGAGGCAUGCUGGAGGUAUCAGAAGUGCGAAUGCUGACAUAAGUAACGAUAAAGCGGGUGAAAAGCCCGCU